UUUACAAAAAAAGUUACGAAAAUGUUGGCACUUCGUAUCAAUUGUCAAAUUAAACCAACAAAAACAUUACUUUUUGAUCGGAAGACCAUUCCAAAUUUUUGAAAUUUUGAUGGAACUCGUCCAGAAAACGACGAAAAGUGAGUGGAGACUUAAAAUUCGCAGAAUGUAUGACACUGCAAUAGUAGAUACUAUCUAGUAUUAUAAACCAGAAACACAUAGACCCACGAAAGCUAGCCAUAUUUUUGUUUUAUCUAGGAAAGUCUGCGCACUAGAAGAUUUCAAUCGGAAAAUAAUGAACAUACGAUUAGAAUAACUGCUCACCAUCUACGGGCACGGACGAGAACAGUUACGAGAAUCAACGUCUAAACAAGCGUUCUAUAAUAAUUUUUUCUCUUCCUUGUUUUACAUUUCCAGAAGACUGUGUGUUUAUGCAUAAUGCCAAUAGGUUAACCGCAUUUCUUAAAGUGCGGUAAAGAGGGUAAUUAAAGAAUAAUACGCGCAUAUAGUUAGGUAAUUAGACAAUAAAUUUCAAUUAAAAGUCGAAGAAUGCACAUCCGUACGCUCAAGACAAACAAUAAAACAAUGAGAAAAAGAUCUAGGUAGCAUAUAACCCGCAGCCAAGAGAUCACACUAAAAAUUUCAGAUAGUGUUUCGGUUCGAAUCACGGUUAAUGUUGAGAAAAAGACGUUAAAGUUUGCUUCUCUGUACGCUGUACUUAUAUUGACCCCUUAAACGGGAGAUUUUACUCUUUCUUAUCUGGCAUUUUACCUUACUGUGUCUCCGGAACUUUUUGUUUUCGGUAAUAUAAAUUGCUUCAUCGUCAUCUAUAUUAUUACUCCAAGAUUUUAAUUUUCUGUUUCAACAAUUAUCGAGAUAUUGAUCAGAUAACACAUUAAUAUUUUGAAUUUUCACCAAUAUCUCAACAAAACGAAAUAAAUGUAUACCUAAGUAAAAUUAAAUAUAUUCACGACCUAGUCUUGUUCCAAUAGUUUAUUUUACAGGUAGGUAUUUUUCUUUUAUCUAUAUUGCGAAUUUUUGGGUUACCUCGCUUUCAUAUUUUCUAGGUUUAUAUUUUGUUAAGAAGGUAAUGCAAAUACAAAUCGGGUUUGCUACAAUUUCUAACCGCAAUAAACCUAAAUAUUUAUUGCCCGGGUCAGAACAUUGCCCGUCUACCUUAUCCGCUU